UUUCACAACUUGACUGAAAUUCAGCCCUGUCAGGAAUCACUGCUUUGCUUUCUAUUUAAUUAAGUCAGUGUUUAGGUUGUACAAAUAAGUUGUUUGCUCCCAUAAUGGACAUUGAAACGGAAGCCUUAGCUGGCCUGGCUCUUCUCCUCAGGCGUGGAAAAACUGAAACUAAGAAAAACAAGCAAAGCAGUGCUGGGUUUUCUACUUCCUGGAUAGGGUAACUUGCGCAUCCAAUGAAGGCCAUCUGGUGGUUUCCCAAAUUAACAGUGCUGCGCAGAACUUUCAACAAGAAAAGCCCAGAGGAGAGGAGGACGGUUGCUUUUGAAGCCACCACUCUUGUCUGCCUCAUUCAUUUCAAACAGAGAUACUUCUCAAAGAGAUGAAGGCCCGUGUACAAACAACAAUGCCCACUGCAUUCUCUUGCCACCAGCUGUGAUGUGGUGGCUUUUGAUUCUGCACAGAAGCUGCCUUGUUUCAGAAACUGAUUGAUGGUUCUUCUGAAUGAAGGAGGCAACAAGAACAAAUAAGCAGAGUUCCUGGUAAGGCAAGGUACUUCAAGAGAAUGGGCUUGAGAGCACUUAAAAUAAAAGGUGAACACAAGCCUCCAUGAAAGUAAAGCAUUGAGCUGCUUGCUCCUGGUUGAGAAUGUGCAGUUCUUAAGGAUCUCCACGUGUUGGUGCAAAGACAUAAGCUCCUUGGAGACAUCUGACUUGGUAUUUCAGACUUUUUAGUGGAGGUUAAAAAAAAAAAGUUAAAUCCAAAUAGAUGUCAUAAAACAGAGAAAACCAAUUGAAAUUAAAAAAUGUAGGCGGCCUGAGUUGGAUUCAAGGCAGUAAAAAGAAAACAAUGCAUUGAAAGAGCUGGUAAUGAGGCAUCUUGGCAGAGGGGAGGGCAUGUGAUUUCUCUUUGGAAAGACAGUGAAAGGCCUGCAAAGGCUUAUAAACACCAUGGGCAGCGUUAGGACCUGCUUUCCAUGAACUCAGAGAUGGCCUCCUCUUUCCAUAAAUCCUUGUCUUUCCCUUUUGCCUAACAGAUGGAGACAAACCAGGUAAAACUAGCCACGAGAAGCCUAGCUACAUUAAAUAUUUUUAUUAUAAGAAGCUCUAUCAAACUUCCUGGGGGUGAGCAUUCUUCAAGAAUCUGUGUUGGGGGCACAGUGAUGGCUGAGGAGCAGGUGUGGGGGGUAGAGCUGGGGUUUUAGGGGGUUGUGAGGAUUGGAGGGGUGGGGGAACGAGUAUUCUGGUCAUUGGUUCUUACACACCAUGUUUUCACAAUAAUAAUAAAAAUUUGUCCAUCAGC
rnacentral:lncRNA from 1 species